CUUUUUCUUUCUUUUGUACAGUGAGUAUUCAUUAUACUUUUAAUAUCUUUCUAGAAAGGUUAUAGGAAUGUGCACAAUUUUUAUUUCUGUUUAUAUAUUUAUUUGUUUUGUCCAAUUAAACAGUCUUUAUAUAAAUGUAUUGUCUAAACACCUUUGAUCAGUCUCUUGUGUAAUAUAUUGUUUUAUGUUCUUAAUUAAAUUAAAAUUAACAUCAAACGUUUCUUAAUUUCUAAUUGUUCUUCUUCAUGUGUUUGGUAUAAUUUCUCUUCUGCAGGUGACUCUGACUGUUCUACAGAAAUUAGAGUACGUCGCAACACAGUUUAUAAUGCAUCAGCUGGACAACAACUUUGGAUUAAUUGCCCAGUAUUUUUUUGCAAUGAUUCACCAACAACAGUCACCUGGUAUAAAGUUGAGGAAGCUAUUGUCCCCGUCAAUGUCAGCGGUGACAGUCACAUUAAAACAGAUUUGAAACCUUUAAACAAAUCAGUAUGGAUCUUCUAUUUGAUCUUCCAGAACAUUCUCAGACAUGACUCUGGUCAGUAUCAGUGUCAAGGUGGAGGGAGUACGAGUCAUGCCAUCACUGUCAAUGUCUAUGAUCAUGCUGAAAUUACCACUAUUACACAGAAUAAUGUCAGAGUCAGCACGACUUCUGCUCCUGAAAAUACAGAAACCUUGUUGCUGUACGUGUACUCUGCUGCUGGGAUCGCCACAUUCGUCAUCAUAGUCAUAAUCAUAUCUGUCAUAUCAAUGCGAGGCUGUAAAGGGAAGCCAAAGAAAGACAGUCAAGCUGAAAAUCAGCAGGUGGAGAUCCCCAUGGUGGAUCAGUUCUUUUCAAAAGUAAUCUUUGAGCACUUGGAAAGAGGAGGCCCCUCUGCUCUGCAAUCUCGGAGAUGUAACAAGGGAAGAACACCAUCAAUGCAACACAUUGAGAUGACAUUAUCAAGAGAUAAUGAGAAGGCAUAUUGACCAAUCCGCGUGGGC
ensembl:lncRNA